AUGGGAUGUGCCGCCACACCUGUUGUUGGGCAAGGCACACGCCUCUCCGGGCUCCGACCGCCUCGUCAUGGUAUGACUACACCCGUUCUACUGCGUUACUUCCCUGUUUUUAUGGAUUGCAACCUUCGUGUAGUGUUGUGGAACGUGUGUGGGCUCAACUGCCUGGCUAAACAUUCCGAUGUUCGCUCGGUGACCUCCUCCGUUCGCCCGACGCUUGUUUGCCUCCAGGAAACUAAGCUUUUCGUGGUCUUGUUGUCCCUUGUAACGGAUACCUUAGGCCCCGAGUUCGCUGACUUUCUCUCACUCCUGGCCGAUGGCACAAGGGGUGGUAUCAUUCUCGUCUGGCACUCCGUCGACAUCUCUCUCACUAGUAGAAAAAGGGUCAAAUGGCAAGCACAUUAG
rnacentral:rRNA from 1 species